AAAUGCAUAUAAAUAAGUAAAUUAAAUUAAAAAAUGUUCAGUAUUGCAGCAAGAAUCUUGUUUGAAGAGGAGUUAGAAGAAGACAUCAAAGCCCAAGGGUUGUUUGAAGAUCCUUGAGGGACAGUUCGAACCCUCUGGAGUUGCCUCAAUGGUUGUUUCAAAAGUAUUAUAGAGUUAACAAGGUUGUCUUCAAGUAUUUGCUGGAUAUUCUCUCUAGGUCCUGUGAUCCAACUAAAAAAAGUUUUGCGAUUCCUCCAAUAACAAAAUUAAGUGCUUGUUUGCGUUUCUUCGCUGAAGGAGGAUACCAAACGGGGGUGGGAAAAGACUACAAUGUUGGACUGGCCCAACCUAGUUUUAGCAAAGUGCUUGCCGAAGUCUUAAACGUUUUGGAGGAGCAACUAUGUCCAGAAUGGAUAAAAGUAUGCCAAACGGCCGCAGAAAAAAGAAGAGUUGCGCUGGCCUUCUACUCAAAACAUAACUUUCCUGGCAUUGUAGGGUGCGUUGAUGGAACGCACGUUCGGAUCA